rnacentral:rRNA from 1 species
AGGAUAAACGCUGGCGGCGUGCCUAACACAUGCAAGUCGAACGUCUCUUUCUUCGGGAAGAGGAGUGGCGGACGGGUGAGGAACACGUGGGAACCUGCCCUUCAGUGAGGAAUACCGGCGAGAAAUCGCCGACAAGACCGCAUAGCCCUCUCUGGUGAGAGCCAGAGAAGGAAAGCCUCGCAAGAGGCGCUGGAGGAGGGGCCUGCGUCCGAUUAGCUAGUUGGUGGGGUAAGAGCCUACCAAGGCGUCGAUCGGUAGCUGGUCUGAGAGGACGAUCAGCCACACUGGGAUUGAGAACGGCCCAGACUCCUACGGGGGGCAGCAGUGAGGAAUUUUCGGCAAUGGGGGAAACCCUGACCGAGCAACGCCGCGUGCAGGAAGACGGCCUCGGGUUGUAAACUGCUUUCUUUGGGUACGAGCAAGGACGGUACCAGAGGAAUCAGCCCGGCUCACUACGUGCCAGCAGCCGC